AACGAACGCUGGCGGCAUGCCUAACACAUGCAAGUCGAACGAGACCUUCGGGUCUAGUGGCGCACGGGUGCGUAACGCGUGGGAACAUGCCCUUAGGUUCGGAAUAACUCCACGAAAGGGGUGCUAAUACCGGAUAAUGUCUUCGGACGAAAGAUUUAUCGCCUUUGGAUGGGCCCGCGUUGGAUUAGCUAGUGGGUAUGCUAAAAGCCUACCAAGGCGACGAUCCAUAGCUGGUCUGAGAGGAUGAUCAGCCACACUGGGACUGAGACACGGCCCAGACUCCUACGGGAAGCAGCAGUGGGGAAUAUUGGACAAUGGGCUAAAGCCUGAUCCAGCAAUGCCGCGUGAGUGAUGAAGGCCUUAGGGUUGUAAAGCUCUUUUACCCGGGAUGAUAAUGACAGUACCGGGAGAAUAAGCUCCGGCUAACUCCGUG
rnacentral:rRNA from 1 species